ACCAACAAGGAUUGCCUCAGUAUCGGCGAGUGAAGCGGCAAAAGCUUAAAUUUGAAAUCUGGCACCAGCCCGAGUUGUAAUUUAUAGAGGAUGUCUUCAGCAAAAGGCUUGGAGUCUAAGUUCCCUGGAACGGGAUAUCAUGGAGGGUGAGAAUCCCGUACAUGGUUCCAAUGUCUCUUGCAUCAUGAAGCUCCUUCAACGAGUCGAGUUGUUUGGGAAUGCAGCUCAAAACAGGAGGUAAAUUCCUUCCAAAGCUAAAUAUUAGCCAGAGACCGAUAGCGAACAAGUAGAGUGAUCGAAAGAUGAAAAGCACUUUGGAAAGAGAGUUAAAAAGUAUGUGAAAUUGUUGAAAGGGAAGCGCUUGCAACCAGACUUUUCACUGUAGGUUAGAUCAUCUAGGCUCUUUGGUCUAGUGUACUCUACCUAUACUGUGUGCCAGCAUCGGUUUGUUAGUCGAGAGAAAAAGGUAGUGCGUUGUCAAUACUUCCGGGUAUUUGGCAUGCAUCUACAGGUACAUCUUGAACCCAGACCGAGGACAGCGCUUUUUGCAUGGAUGCUGGUGUAAUGGUUGUAAGCGGCCCGUCUUGAAACACGGACCAAGGAGUCCAACAUCCAUGCGAGUGUUUGGAUAUCAAGUCCGUACGCGCAAUGAAAGUGAACGCAAGUGGGAACUCAUUUAUGUGUGCACCAUUGACCGAUCUUGAUCUUUUGAAAUGGAUUUGAGUAAGAGCAUGGCUGUUGGGACCCGAAAGAUGGUGAACUAUGCCCGCGUAGGCUGAAGUCAGGGGAAACCCUGAUGGAAGGUCGCAGCGGUUCUGACGUGCAAAUCGAUCGUCAAACGUGGGUAUAGGGGCGAAAGACCAAUCGAACCAUCUAGUAGCUGGUCAC
rnacentral:rRNA from 1 species